UUUAGGAGCUGAAGGAAAUCAUUUUUUUCUGGUGAUAAGCAUUACAUAUUACAAACCUCCCAGCAGUACCAACUAACCAGAACCCCAGAUCAGUCCCAUCAUUUUCCCCUGGAAAAUGUACUUGUUUUGCUGGAUUCUCUUCUGACAGAUGGUCAAUUCUUGGUGUUGACACCUGAAUACUAAGCUUUUCCAUUUUUUUUCUUUAUAGAGUCAACUAUUCCAAAGGUCCCUUCCAUAUACAUAAUUUAUGAGAAUUAAAUAUGGCCAACAGCUCUUGACAAGUUGUUACUGGAAUGUUCUGGGUCCUUUUACUUAGGAACUAAAUGCAAAGUAAUUCAAUAUGCCCAUAUUAUAUUUGAUCACAUACUCAUUCUGUCUUCUAACAUUUUUUCUUCAGUCUGAAAGAUGUCUCAUAUGAUACAAUAUUACAUGUACAUCCCAGUGACAUCUAAGCAUAAGCCAUAUCUUAUUCCUUCUAGAGUGCAAUUUCAGAAAAAAUAACUCUAGCAUUUAUCCUAAACAAUGUGCAGCUACUGCUAAAGAACUUCUGAUUGUGAAAAUCUUGCACAGAAUUCCUAACAUGCAUCAACUAGUUCACACAUUAAUUUCUUUGAGUGAUUGCCACUGGAGUUGUCAUUUCAGUGGGACUUAGCAGAGGUGGGGAAAAGCUUUUCUGCCAUAAGAAAACAAAGGCCGGUGUCUUCAUUACUCCAAUUACUGCCAAGCUACUGAAAAAUCCUUCAAGGCCAACAGAGUUCAACAAAAUAAAAGAUGCUCAUCAAAUGCCAAGACAAGUAACCUUAUUAACAAAAAUUUUAAGGCCUAAAUCCUCAUAUCAGAUAGGAUACUUUUACUUCAAAAUAUGUCAGCUUGGCAAGAAAUAGGAUGCUUAUAUCUGGUGGAUGAAAAAGUGAAAAAUUGAGGCCAGUGUUCUAGGAAAAAUCCAGUAAGAGAUAUGGAAAAAGGAAAAAAGAAAAAGAAUUGGCUAUAUGAAUGAAAUUAAGAUUACCUAAGAUAGCAGUUAUAGAUUUGAAAACAUGAAAGAAUUCCAGAAGUCCCUGCUUUCACAGCAUUUUGGUUCUAGAAAGAUGGCAAAAUAUGGCUUCUUUUUCCACAGAGGGAUGACAGUGGGGUCUUG
rnacentral:lncRNA from 1 species